GACAGAGGCCUCGAGCGUUAGGCGGAAUCACUGGGCUUAAAGCGUGUGUAGGCGGAUCGUUAAGUACCUUGUGAAAUCCCACGGCUCAACCGUGGAACGGCUGGGUAUACUGGCGGUCUUGGGCCAUUCAGGGGCGACUGGAACAAGCGGUGGAGCGGUGAAAUGCGUAGAUAUCUGGAGGAACACCGGUGGCGAAGGCGGCAUCCUGGACCAACACUGACACUGAGGAGCGAAAGCCAGGGGAGCAAACGGG
rnacentral:rRNA from 1 species